UACGUAGGGUGCAAGCGUUAAUCGGAAUUACUGGGCGUAAAGCGUGCGCAGGCGGUUUUGUAAGUCUGUUGUGAAAUCCCCGGGCUUAACCUGGGAAUGGCAAUGGAGACUGCAAGGCUGGAGUUUGGCAGAGGGGGGUAGAAUUCCACGUGUAGCAGUGAAAUGCGUAGAGAUGUGGAGGAACACCGAUGGCGAAGGCAGCCCCCUGGGUCAAAACUGACGCUCAUGCACGAAAGCGUGGGGAGCAAACAGG
rnacentral:rRNA from 1 species